rnacentral:pre_miRNA from 1 species
ACAACAACAUUCGGACCGUCGGUCUGCCGAGCAAUAUCACCCGCUCGGUGGAAGAUCUUGCCUUUGUCGUUUAAG